UUUACUUUGGCAGAAGAAAUGCGUUAGAUUUAGGAUCUAAUUAUAUAGGGUUAGCUAUAAGUAAAG
rnacentral:tRNA from 1 species